UACGGGGGGGGCAAGCGUUGCUCGGAAUCACUGGGCGUAAAGGGCGCGUAGGCGGGGAGGUAAGUCGGGUGUGAAAUCCCUCGGCCCAACCGAGGAACUGCGCCCGAGACUGCUUCUCUUGAGUCCCGGAGAGGAAGAUGGAAUUCCCGGUGUAGCGGUGAAAUGUGUAGAGAUCGGGAGGAACACCAGUGGCGAAGGCGGCUCACUGGCUCGGUACUGACGCUGAGGUGCGAAAGCGUGGGGAGCAAACAGG
rnacentral:rRNA from 1 species